AAAGGCUNACUGCUAAUCGUACGACUAAUUUUAUUUUAUUACACUAGAAUGUAAUUAGUAGUGGUGUACAGGUGAGUAAAAGAUAUUAUAGCCGCCUUGGAGUAAGGAAUAAAAUUCCUUAUAUUAAUAAAGAAACUAGUAGAGAAUCGCUCUUAGAAGUAUAUAUAUAUCUCGUGUAGUAGUAGUUAAGGUAAUUGCUUAACUAGCUUAAUACACGUAGUCGUAACUGGAAGGUUGAUCGAUCACAGUGUGGCCUGCAGAAAGCCCACGAUUAUAUUACAGCAGUGAGGAAUAUUGGUCAAUAGCCUAACGGCUGAACCAGCAACUUGGAGGAAUGUAUAGCUAAAGCUAAAUGUAUUUUGUAUAAAAUACAGAUUCGAUUUAUUCGUAUAAAGUUCUAGAUAGAAUUAUGAUAAUGACAUUAUCUAUCUAUAAGUCUUGACCAACAUGCGUGCCAGCAGUCGCGGCAAGACGCUAAAGACUAGUGUUAUUCAUCUUUAAUAGGUUUAAAGGGUACCUAGACGGUAAAUUAAGCCUUAAUCGGAACUAAUUUAACUAGAGUUAGAUGUAAGGGUGCAUUAACGUACUAUUGAGUGUAGAGAUGAAAUUCUAUGAUACCAGAUGAUUGGCACGGGUUUAGGCGAAAGCAUCACCUUAUGUAAUAACUGACGUUGAGGGACGAAGGCUUUGUGUCGCGAACAGGAUUAGAUACCCUAGUAGUCUUAGCAGAAAAUGAUGAAUGUCAUAGGUUAAAUAUUAUUUAGUCUAUAAAUGAAAGUGUAAGCAUUCCACCUCAAGAGUAAUUUGGCAACAUUGGAAUUGAAAUCAUUAGACCGUUUCUGAAACCAGUAGUGAAGUAUGUUGUUUAAUUAGAUGAUACACAAAAAACCUUACCACAAUUUGAAUAUUUUACAAGCGUUGCACGGCUGUCUUCAGUUAAUGUCGUGAGAUUAUGGUUAGUUCCAUAAAUUAACGUAAACCCUUACUUUAUUUUAUUUAAUAUAAAGUUGUUCGCCGCUUUUUUGGUUAGAUAAAAGGGAGUAGAAAAGUCAUCAGGGCCUUAAUAUUGUGGGUAAGAACCUGCCCCUAAAAA
rnacentral:rRNA from 1 species